rnacentral:rRNA from 1 species
UACGGAGGGUGCAAGCGUUGUUCGGAUUUACUGGGCGUAAAGCGCGCGCAGGUGGGUGAACAAGUCGGAAGUGAAAUCUUGAGGCUCAACCUCGAGGCUGCUCCCGAAACUGUUCGCCUAGGGACUGGUAGAGGCUGGUAGAAUUCCCGGUGUAGCGGUGGAAUGCAUAGAGAUCGGGAAGAAUACCUGUGGCGAAGGCGGCCAGCUGGGCCAGAUCCGACACUGAGGCGCGAAGCGUGGGAGCAACAGGG